AAACAAGAAGAUAUGUAAGUAUAUGUCUCUGAUUAAAAAAAAAAACCUACCUCUAAAAGCUUACACUGCAAGAGCGGCCUGUUAUUUCCUGAAACAGUGAAGGACCAUCUGCUAGCAAUGUUACAUUUUUAGCAGAAAAACCUCAUCAAUAUAGAUUCUGUGUUUUUAAAAAAACAAAACAAAAAAAACAAACUCGGACUCUUGCGAGUUGUAGCUGUGAAGGUGAACCUCCUGCAAAACAGCCCAAACUUAGAGAAGUUGUGGUCAGAAGAAGAAAUAAAGUCUUGGGAUGAAAAUCACUUUAGAGCACAACAUCCAGAAGGCUGUGAGACCGCUGCUCGGACUGAAGAAACUGGACUUCUGAUACUGGAGUGGAAACACAACAGCAGCCAGAAGCUGUACAAAGACUGCCCGUCCACAUCUGAUAAGCCUGAAGGAACCACCACGCAUGACGAGGGUCGGGCAGUUCAACCGGAUGAUAUUCUCAUGGCCAGACUUCGAGACCCAGCUGCACAGUUUUGUCCAUUACCACCAAAUUUGAAAGACUGAAAUUAUUAUCGGACUGAAGCGAUCUUCAGAAUGAGAUGAUUACUUAUUUAAUAGAUGAUAUGACAUCUUUCAGUCGUGAACGCGGUAUAAAUGAGGACACUGACGCAGAAGAUAUGGCAGAUAUGAUUGAGCUGUAUAGAUAUUCUUGAAGACGCCUGUAAAAUAGGCUUCUUGUGAGUUUUUGCAAUACGGUAUGUGUAGAUGAACUGAGAUUAUUGUUGUUCUGCCUAAUUAUCGAUUUUUAAUGUUUUGUGUAUGUCUGGUUUUGAUAUUUUAUUGUUUGAUGCUAAUGUUGUAACUUUAUUGUUUACUGUAUGAAAUGUAAUUGUAAAUAUUAUUGAUGUAUUUUAUUUGACCCUAGGAAGAGUUACCAAGGCAACAACUAAUGGGGAUCCUAAUAAACAAUAUGCUCCCCCCCCCGGUGAUGAAUCAGAUAAAGAUAAUAAUUUAUAUCAAGAGGGGCGACGGUGUCUUUAUGAUACUGUUUGUCAGGAAUGGGUAGCGAUGACUGAUGGGAUAGAGACUGUUAAUCUUCUACAGAUUUUCAUGGGAGGGGAAACUCCGUGCUUUAAUGCUAUAGAAGUCAGACAAGCAGUUGAUUUAAGAGACAUCCCUCUGCAUAAUAUAGAGGAAGUCCCACAGCUGCUAAGGCAUAAACUGACCAAUGCUGUAAACUAUUGCACUACGUGGCAGCCAGUUAAAUGUUUUAGGUGGCCCCUCUCUCGUCAGUGAUGUCCAAACAAUGCUGACAUCAGACUAUGAGUAUAAUGCAGACCUGUUUGUAGAGCAGGUAGCCCAAGCUCUUCGAAGCAACGUCACAAGCACGACAGUGACGGAUUCGAGUUUGUGGUAUCGGUAGCCCGGAAUAAAAGCAGCGGCGGUUGUAUCCAAUUGGGUGCUAUACCAUAUGAUCAGGUAAUACAGAAGAAAAAACCUAGUAUCUAUGUGCCAGACAACACAGACGACAAUCUCGUGUUUCUCAUUGUGCCUUGCUCAUUUUAUUAUCUCUACACCUUCAGAAAAACAAAUGGGCUUUUGUGCAAAAACUACACCAGGAGUUAGGAUUUUCUGAUGCCAAGUGCGUAUACUACUGUCAGACUGAAAUCUGUGAAAUGUACAGACUGCAAGCGUGUCGAUCACAGCACUGCUAUGAGAUGCACAAACAACACUCUCCAACAUACAGGUUGCACCAUGUAGCCGUGAAAAACGUUGUAGGCUAUACCUCAGAAGAAGAUAGAAAGAUAAAGACAUACAGCCAAAGGGGCAUGUCUGUUUGAAGAGGAAGUGAAGGCACUGUGGAGAAGUCCUGGUUAUAGACAGCCUAUCCCCAAGGAAGACCCAGACACAAAGUAUGCAUUUUUUACAAUUUCGUUACCUUGAUGGUAGACAUGAAUCCAACUUUGUCUGUGCUGUCACAUUCAAAGGUGAAAAGCGGUGUGCCACCGGUGCAGACCGGUGAAACUCUUGCACUGCAAGAAAUACAACAACUAUUCAUUGAUUGCACACAAUGCCUCAGGAUUACAUUAUGUUGGACUACUUUACAAAGCAGGGUAUUGCACCUAGCCUAACCAUGAGAGGCAGUAGGGUCCUGCUAAUGAUCCAGCAUACAAGCAGACCUCUAGCAAAGACCCCUGCAACCCCUGAUUAUGUGGAAAAAGCAUAUUUCUCUCACAAAUUCAACACCAGAGAUAAUGAGUUCUCCACCUCACCUUUAUUAUGGGUAUGACACUAUGACUGAAAGUGAAAAGGCUGCUUUCAUGCAGUGGUAUAACACUGUAACCAGCCACCUGGUGUUUGACUUUCAAAAAGAGGUAUGGAGUCAACGAUGUUGUGGUGCUGAGAAAGGCAUGCGUGGUUUACCACCAACCAAUUAUAGAGCGCUCUGGCUUGGAUCCCUUUAAAUGUACAACUCUGGCAUUGUGCUGUAUGGGCAUCUGCAAAACAAAUUUCUUGCAAAGUGACACACCAGGUUAGUUACAUAGACCAACACAAAACAUACUCUAAUGCCUCUAUUCAGUUGAGUUUCUUUUACAGAAGUAUGGCACUCUUUUCAUUUUUCAUGCACUCAACCAUGGGGUCCUUUUUCCACAGAUGGCUAUGACCCAAAUACACACACUGCCUACAAAUUUGCAGGGUGUUUUUUUGAACCCUGUCAGUAAGAUCACAUAUGCUGUGUUAUACAGACAUUCAAUCAAAAAAUCCCAUCCCUAAAAAGAGGCUAUGGUCUUCGUGCAGAGGUCACGUGGGAGUCUUACCCUUGAAAUGCCCUGUUUGGCGGACGAACAAAUGCAAUCAAGCUGUACCAUAAAACGGUGGAUGAUGACAAAUUCAGGUACUACGAUUUUACAUUUCUCUAUCCCACAGUAGUUUCACAAGCCGUAUGCUGUAGGUCACCCCCCAAAUCAAAUUCAAAGAUUUUGAUUCAGUUGACAAUCACUUUGGGUUUUGUGUACCCUCCUACAGGUCCGUAUCACCCUGUUCUGAAUAUAUUACUACUAUUUAUUUUGGUUACAACAAAAGAGCAAAAAUAACUGCUUGCUGUUUGCCUUUAUGUUAUCUCAAAGACAUUGGCUAAUUUCUUGGUUGGGAGUUAUUCAUUUAGAACAAGGGGCAGCCAGAAAAGAUGGGGUGAAGGCAGAAAAUGUUGAAAUUUGGUCUGAAGUGGUGGAAAACUGACAGUUUAAUUUCGUUAAGUAUUUGAAUUGUCUAUAUAUGCAUUUGUAUGUACAGUAUGUAUACUGUAUAUGUACUUGUGGAGGUAUAUGCAUAUACUGUAGGCACUGUAGUGCAGCCAUUAUCCUGUAACCCAGGGAGGAUUUUGUCUUUGAUCUUUAUUUGUAUUCUGUUUGUUUAUGUCUUGUGUUGCUUGUUAGUAAAUAUUUAAAAAAAGAUGAAGAGUUUACAGCCAUGUUUGUGGCUUUGUGAGUCUGUACUUAGGCAC